rnacentral:rRNA from 1 species
UACAGAGGGGGCAAGCGUUAUUCGGAAUUAUUGGACGUAAAGGGCGCGUAGGCGGCUUGGCAAGUCCGUCAUGAAAUGUACCGGUUCAACCGGGGCACUGUGUCGGAAACUGCCUGGCUUGAGGUCGAGGGAGGAGAGUGGAAUUCCUGGUGUAGCGGUGAAAUGCGUAGAUAUCAGGAGGAACACCGAUGGCGAAGGCAGGUCUCUGGGCCACUACUGACGCUGAGAAGCGAAAGCAUGGGGAGCGAACAGG